AUUAGUAAUGACAACUUUAAAGGGGAAUGGGCUAGCUAUGCUAUUAACUUAAACAAAAUGAAUCAGGUGCUAGAUCUUAUUGGUGUUGUGCUACUGAAGAUUAUUUGGCAUGAAAAUGAUUUCUUGAACCAAAACCUAAACCCAUACUACUAACGAUCUUGUUUUCUUAAAACUUAAACAUUUGUUUUUUGUUUUUACAAAGGCAAAUUAAGACAUAAAAAGAUACCUUUUUGGUUUACCGUAUAAAAAUUUAAAAAGCACAUGUAAGAACUAAAUUUAAUAACUUACCAUCUGACAGGAAUUCCUUAAAAUUUAUAGAAAAACAUUCUUUCUAAACAAAUUUAAUUUUACUACUAAAUUCACUCUAACAUAAAUACUAACUCCAUAUUGAUAUACAACUUUUUAGGCUAAACUUUUUAAAAGAUAUUAAAACUAAGUAGGAACUUCUAAAUACCCAUUCUUAUAUUCGAACUAGAGAACGAAUGAAUAAACAAAGAAAUGCAUUAUCUACUUAAACACUUUAACAUGUGUUGGAACUUAUUUCCAAGAACUCUGUUAACGCAAAUGGAAAUAUAAGGGAACAAAGUUUGUGUCAAACUUAAAGAAAAGAGAGAUGAAAAAAACCUUAAAAGAAAACUAGAGUAAAACUAGUACAAAUUCAUAAUCACAAUAAAAAAAGGAACUUGGGCCAAACAGUGUCAAUACAACUCUCUCAAGCUUAAACUCUAUCAUACGCACAUUUUUGACUUAAACUCAACAUUUAUCUAAGCUACCAAUUACAUAUUCACAUGCUCGAGCCAUAGAUAAAAAGGUUAACUCAUCAUUUAUCUAAGCUGCCAAUUAUAUAUUCACAUGCUUGAGCCAUAGAUAAAAAGGUUAAAACGCUUAAGCAGCCUCAUAGAAUGAAUUCAACUCUAUUCCAGCAAUCUAACAGGUUCAAAUCUUCAACUAUUUCUUAGAAAAAAUAUACAUUACAAAGAUUCAAGAGUUACCUAUAUUGCAGAAUAAUAAA
rnacentral:lncRNA from 1 species